GGUUUUUUGAGGUUAAUAAAAAAUCUAACCUGCCCACUGAGAAAUGUUGAAUGGCCGCAGUAUUUUGACUGUGCUAAGGUAGCAUAAUAAUUAGUCUUGUAAUUUAGGACUGGAAUGAAAGGUUGGACGAGGGAGAUACUGUUUCUAGAGAAAAAGCUGAAUUUUGUGUUGUUGUGAAGAAACAACAAAGUAGUUGAGGGACGAGAAGACCCUAUUAAGUUUAACAAAAUUUUCCGAAAAAUUCUUUAAAUGAGGGGGAAUUUUUCGGAAAAUUUUGUUUUGCUGGGGCGGUGUUGAUUAGAUUGGAUCUUUUGAUGGUUUGAGUGGAUAUUUUAUUAAUGAGCCAGAGAUUGAGAUUUUUGAUAUGUAGAUUAAAUUACUGUAGGGAUAACAGCGUUAUAUCAUUGGAGAGUUCUUAUUGAUAAUGAAUUUUGCGACCUCGAUGUUGAAUUAAAAUGCCUGUUUGGUGAAGGGGCUAAAUAAGGUGGUCUGUUCGACCAUUAAAUUUUUACA
rnacentral:rRNA from 1 species